ACUCUCUUGCUUCAAUCAAUCAAUCAACAAGCAUUUAUUAAGAAUCUAAUAUGUGUCAAGCACACACAGGGAACACAAAUACAUGAAAGCCAGAGACAGCAGCUGCUGCUUCCAGGACACAUUCUGGAACCCACACUACACUCUUCAGCAUCCACUGAUUAUCUUACUGGAUAUGUUUUGGAGUACCCAUACUUCUACAGGAAUUACAUAUCAAUGAGUCAUCAAAGUCCAGUGGCAAGACCAAAGUCAAGAUGACUGGCAAUGGCUCCAGAUGCAGUGGAUGGCCUUGUCGUCUUUGUGGUCUGACGAAGCUUGAAGCACUCUGCAAGUGCCUGUUUCAGCCGCUGUCGUGGCCAUUGGAACAAAUUGUUUUCAUCCGCCCAUUCUACCAGGGAAGUCUUCACAUGCUUGGGGUAGACAACACCCAGAUACUUGAUAAACACUUGCUAAAUGAUUAAUCAUUUCUCCAUUCAAAAGCAAGCACAGUAAAGAGAGAAGAGCACAGGACUUGAAAUUAGAUGAGCUGGGUUUGAUUUCUGUCUCAGUUACUUACUGCUUGGACAAAUCACCUAACCUCUCUGGGUCUCAAUUCCUCAUCUAUAAAAUAAAUUGGAUUCAUAAAUAUGUGAA